rnacentral:rRNA from 1 species
AAAAGAACUUUGGAGAGAGAGUUCAAGAGAGCGUGAAACCGUUGGGAGGGAAGCUCUGGGUGCCGAGGCGGUCCGGCUCCUCGGUGUUCAGCCGGUACGGCGUCGUCGCUCCCGUGUGCGUCGUCGUGCCGGUGCAUUUGCCGUCGAGUCUCGGUGACCGUCAGCGAGAGGAGAGUCCGGUCGUGUAAUUGGCGCUGGUCGAGGUGGUGCCGUGGACCGUCGCUCGCGUCGGUCUUCGGUCGUAAGCUCUUCGAGUGUCCGGUCGUGGCGUUCUCCUCUGGAGCAGUAGGCGACUCUGUCGUCUGAGUUGGUUGUAGGUGCGGGUCACUCUCGGGUGACGCGGGCUCGUCGUCGUCGAGUCGUUCACUCUCGGGGCGGUGUCCGUCAGUUCGGCAACUCCGCGUUGUCCGUCCUGGCGGAGCUCUCCGGUUUCGUUCGUCGGGCGNCUUCGGGUCUCGUCUUCCGCGCCUAGGUCGCUGACGUAGAUUCGGUCCCCAGU